rnacentral:rRNA from 1 species
AGUGAACGCUGGCGGUAGGCCUAACACAUGCAAGUCGAACGGCAGCACAGUAAGAGCUUGCUCUUACGGGUGGCGAGUGGCGGACGGGUGAGGAAUACAUCGGAAUCUACUUUUUCGUGGGGGAUAACGUAGGGAAACUUACGCUAAUACCGCAUACGACCUACGGGUGAAAGCAGGGGAUCUUCGGACCUUGCGCGAUUGAAUGAGCCGAUGUCGGAUUAGCUAGUUGGCGGGGUAAAGGCCCACCAAGGCGACGAUCCGUAGCUGGUCUGAGAGGAUGAUCAGCCACACUGGAACGGAGACACGGUCCAGACUCCUACGGGAGGCAGCAGUGGGGAAUAUUGGACAAUGGGCGCAAACCUGGUCCAGCCAUACCGCGUGGGUGAAGAAGGCCUUCGGGUUGUAAAGCCCUUUUGUUGGGAAAGAAAAGCAGCAGGUUAAUACCCCGCUGUUCUGACGGUACCCAAAGAAUAAGCACCGGCUAACUUCGUG